UACGGAGGGAGCUAGCGUUGUUCGGAAUUACUGGGCGUAAAGCGCGCGUAGGCGGCAAUGUAAGUUAGAGGUGAAAGCCCGGGGCUCAACCCCGGAACAGCCUUUAAGACUGCAUCGCUAGAAUCCGGGAGAGGUGAGUGGAAUUCCGAGUGUAGAGGUGAAAUUCGUAGAUAUUCGCAAGAACACCAGUGGCGAAGGCGGCUCACUGGUCCGGUUCUGACGCUGAGGCGCGAAAGCGUGGGGAGCAAACAGG
rnacentral:rRNA from 1 species